GGGGGAUUAGCUCAGUUGGCUAGAGCACCUGCUUUGCAAGCAGGGGGUCAUCGGUUCGAAUCCGAUAUCCUCCA
rnacentral:tRNA from 1 species